GGAUUGUGGCUCAGCGGUAGAGUGCUCGCCUAGCACGUGUGGGGCCCAGGGUUCAAUCCUCAGCACCA
rnacentral:tRNA from 1 species